UACGGGGAGCUAGCGUUACUCAUAAGGACUGGGCGUAAAGGGUCUGUAGUGGCUUUAAAAAGUUAAAAAGAUAAAGCAAUAGGCUUAACCUUAGAUAUUUUUUUGUAAACUUUAGAGCUUGAGUUUUAAAAUAGAACAUCAGUAUCCUUAAAGGAGAAGUGAAAUUCAUCAAUAUUAAUGGAGACUACCAAUAGGUGAAGA
rnacentral:rRNA from 1 species